UGUGUGUGUUCACUGCUGUGCGUGUGCACUUUGGAUGGGUUAAAUGCAGAGCAUGAAUUCUGAGUAUUGGUCACCAUACUUGGCUGAAUGUCAUGUCACUUUCACUUUCAUCAUUGAAGCCUCUGAAUGUAGGUACAGAGACAUUUGGAAAAAGACAGUGACGUCGCAGGUUGUCAAGGUGCCGCACUGGGCGAUGGCUUGGGGCGACGUGUGCGCAGGGGCGCUGGACUGGGGGUAAAACCAGUACUGAUUACCAGGGCCCCAAAGGAAGAGAGGGCCCUUGAAAAGUCUGGAAUAUAUAUUUUCAAAGGGGGGUUCUAUCUUGUGCAGCAUCCCUGCAUGUGUGACGUGGAAUUUGUUUAAACAAGGAUUUACAGUCCCAGUCUGAAUCUAGAACACCUGAGAAGAGAUGGUGCUGACCCCUCAGAGGACCUCAGAUGAUGCUAACCCUGAAACAACACACAGAACUAACAAAUAUUGCUACAAGUGUGAUUGCAUCA